GGGUCGUUAGCUCAGUCGGUAGAGCAGUUGGCUUUUAACCAAUUGGUCGCUGGUUUGAACCCAGCACAACCCACCA
rnacentral:tRNA from 1 species